ensembl:lncRNA
AAUUGUUGGUUGUGUACUAUGUGUAGUUAUUUGUUGUACGGCACUUGGUUGUGUAUUACGUGUUGUAAUUUGUGCUGUACUUUGUGUAGUACUUGGUUGUGUUACAUUUAUACUAAUUGGUUUUGUACUAUGUGUUGUACUUGGUUGUAUACCAAGCGUAGUUAUUAGUUGUGUAGAACUUGGUUGAGUACUACUAAAUGUAGUAAUUAGUUGUGUACUUGUACAUGGUUGAUCAGUACCGGCUGUGCUAGUUGAAUCUAGACUCCGUUCAGUACUUGGUUGUGUUGUAUCUGUAAUUAUUUGUUGUAAAGUUUUUGGUUUAGUACUUUGUGUAGGAAUAAGUUGUGUAAUUGUAAUUGGUUGAGCCCUGGCUGAGUUAGUUCAACGUGAACUUGGUGUAGUACUCGGUUGUGUUGUAUAUGCAGUUAUUUUUUUGUAAAGUAUUUGGUUGAGUAUUUUGUGUGGUAAUUAGUUGUGUACUUGGUUGAUCACCGGCUGUACUAAAUGUAGUACUUGGUUGGGUACUAUUCGUAGUAAUUGGUUGUGUACUUUGUGUAGUACUUGGUUUUGUACCAUGUGUCGAAAUUAUUUGUACAGUACUUGGUUGUGUACUGAGUAUGGUCGUUGAUUGGGUAUUCAGUGUAAUAGUUUGUUGUAUAGCACUUGGCUGAGUACCGGCAGUGGUAGUUGAUUGUGAACCAGGUCUAGUACUUGGUUGUGUAUUAACUGUAGUAAUUUGUCAUAUAGUACUGGUUGACUAGCAUGUGCAGUAACGGAUUGUGUACCUUGUGUAGUACUUGGAUUUGUACCAAGUGUAGUAGUGAGUUGUAUAGUGCUUGGUUGCGUCGCAAGUAUGGUAGUUGAUUGUGUACCAAGUGUAGUACUUGGUUGUUCUGUACUUGUUUGUUCUGUUAUUGUUUGUCCUGUAGUUGGUUGUUCUGUACUUGGUUGGUCUGUAUUUGGUAGUUCUGUAGUUUGUUGUUCUGUAGUUGGUUGUUCUGUAGUUGGUUGUUCUGUACUUUGCUCGGAAGUUAGUGUUGUAGUUGAUGGCGUUGUUGUUGCUGGUGUCUUGAUAGUGACAUUGACAUUCACUGGGCUCCAAAAAAUGGUGAACUCGUCAACAAAUGUGGCUCUGAAACACACACACACACACACACACACACACGCACACACGCACACACACACACACACACAC